rnacentral:rRNA from 1 species
GCCCGGCUUUGGGAUAGCCACCGGAAACGGUGAUUAAUACCGGAUAUGACCACUUUCUGCAUGGAUGGUGGUGGAAAGUUUUUCGGCCAGGGAUGUGCUCGCGGCCUAUCAGCUUGAUGGUGAGGUAAUGGCUCACCAUGGCUUCGACGGGGAGCCGGCCUGAGAGGGUGACCGGCCACACUGGGACUGAGACACGGCCCAGACUCCUACGGGAGGCAGCAGUGGGGAAUAUUGGACAAUGGGCGGAAGCCUGAUCCAGCAACGCCGCGUGAGGGAUGACGGCCUUCGGGUUGUAAACCUCUUUCAGCAGGGACGAAGCGCAAGUGACGGUACCUGCAGAAGAAGCACCGGCCAACUACGUGCCAGCAGCCGCGGUAAUCGUAGGGUGCGAGCGUUGUCCGGAAUUAUUGGGCGUAAAGGGCUCGAGCCGGUUUGUCGCGUCGGGAGUAAAACGCCGUGCUUAACACGGCGCUUGCUUUCCUACGGGCAGAUAGAGGAUUCAGGGGAGAACGGAAUUCCUGGUGUAGCGGUGAAAUGCGCAAUAUCAGGAGGAACCCGGUGGCGAAGGCGGUUCUCUGGGAAUGACCUGCGCUGAGGAGCGAAGGUGGGGGGAGCGAACAGGAUAGAUACCCUGGUAGUCCAACCGUAAACGUUGGGCGCUAGGUGUGGGGUCCAUUCCACGGAUUCCGGCCAGCUACGCAUUAAGCGCCCGCCUGGGGAGUACGGCCGCAAGGCUAAACUCAAGGAAUUGACGGGGGCCCGCACAAGCGGGGAGCAUGCGAUUAAUUCGAUGCAACCGAAGAACCUUACCUGGGUUUGACAUACACCUGCCGUCCGAAU